GACAAGUUCAUGAAGCGAUUCUGGCACAAGUUCAACGGCCUCGAAGAACAUGAGGACAAAGGUCACAAUGCUGUCGGUGCUGCAUACAAGAGUUUCUACGACCCCAAGGACAUGAUUAUUCCUGAAGAUCAGGAUUUUAGUGGUAUCACUGUAAAGGAUGCAAGAAAGGUGCCGAAAAAGGAUAUCAUCAACUACGAUCAAACUAUUCAUCCAUAUCAUCGUGAAAUGUUUAUAAUUUCUCACAUGUAUGAUAAGGAUGGGUUCGGAAAAGUUGCGUAUGAUGAAGAUGGAAAUGUGAUUGGAAUAGGUCAAGCGAUUGUCUAUCAAACCAAAAAAGACUGCAACCUUGGUCCAAUCUAUGCAGAUAAUCCACGUGUUGCUCAGGCUAUGUUUGCAUCAAUUCUGAAAGAUAUUAAAGCUUCUGCCACUGAAAUCGACCAUUAUGAGGUGCGAUCUUCACAACAGAGUCAAGAUUGUUUCCGGUGAGUUUUGAAGAGAUAAUGACUUCCAAAUUCAAAUGAUUUUUAUCUGGAUCGCUCCAUUCCUUAAGUGCAAGCCAAGUCGUGUCCACAUCGACAAUCUUUCGUACAGGUAUGAGAUCCCAGAUGGUGUUGAUUUUGCAAAGGUCUACAGUCCAAGUCAAGUGCAAAUGUUCCUUGUUUGAAAUUUUUAAAGUGAAAGAGAACUGAAUAAACUGGGAUUCGAAUUCUAGCAUUAAUAAUUCAUGUAAAUACUGUUAAAGUUUAGCGUGGUUUUUCAAGAAAUUGUUUCACGUUUUCGUGGCAGCCUCGAAAUAUUCGCGAAAUUGUUUUGUUUCCAAAAAAAAAUCAUUCCGGUUUCUUCAACUUAUUCUUUCCACAUCAAACUCAUCAUGUUGGCUUCUCGGGGUUUUUAUGGAUAUUCUAUAUUUUCCAAACGAUUCUUUGCGCCUUCUGUGGUGCCGCCUUCUCCGAAGGAACUGACGAAAAAUGACGUGGAUUUGCUGACAAAUCCAGGCGAGGAAUAUUUGGACGGAUUGAUGAAAUGGGUGAGCUUGUUUAAAAGAAUUUUCUGGGCAUUACUUUUUAAUUUUGAGCACGGCGACGAGCGACCCGUGUUCAAAAGAGAGGACAUUUAUCGUUGGUCGGAUAGUUUUCCAGAAUAUCGGCUAAGAAUGAUUUGUCUGAAAGACACGACAAGGGUCAUUGCAGUCGGUCAAUAUUGUUACUUUGAUGCUCUGAAAGAAGGAGAGCAGCCAUUGUUCUUCUUAGGAUUGGGAUGGACGGAUCCUGAAUAUCGUAAUCGGGCAGUUAUGGAGCUUCAAGCUUCGAUGGCGCUGGAGGAGAGGGAUCGGUAUCCGACUGCCAACGCGGCAUCGCAUCCAA
rnacentral:sRNA from 1 species